UACGAAGGUGGCAAGCGUUGUUCGGAUUUACUGGGCGUACAGGGAGCGUAGGCGGUUGGAUAAGCCCUCCGUGAAAUCUCCAGGCUUAACCUGGAAAGUGCAGAGGGGACUGUUCAGCUAGAGGAUGGGAGAGGAGCGCGGAAUUCCAGGUGUAGCGGUGAAAUGCGUAGAGAUGUGGAGGAACACCGAUGGCGAAGGCAGCCUUCUGGGCCAACACUGACGCUCAUGCACGAAAGCAUGGGUAGCGAACGGG
rnacentral:rRNA from 1 species